AAUGAGAGUAGCACGGCUAAGGAAAAGGGGGAAAAAAUGGCGGACUGCGUUGUUUAGUGACCCCGUGAAAUGGUCCUUUGACCCCAAAUGGGGUCCCGACCCCCAGGUUGAGAACCGCUGCGUUAGACGUAAGAGCCGCAUUCUUACAGCCUGCUAAGUCCAACCACGGCAUUGGCUGAGGCAGAAGCACCCAAUCUCACAGACUGUGCAGGAGUCAGCUCAAAGUAGGUUGACUUCAAAGAACCCCCAGAAGCUCCCAUGUGCCAGCCCAGAAAGGGGGAGAGGAGGCUACCUCCUGUGAGUGCCAGCAUUCACCCUGGCACGGAAGGAACCGUUCUCCCCCUCUUCUCCCAUCUCCCACCGCCAAUGAAUGAGGCGGUUCCAUGGCCUUCCUACCCCUCCCACCUGCUCUCAUCCACGAAGGGGAAAAAACACGCCUUCUCCUCGGUGCCCCCCCUAAAAAAACCUCUCCCCAUACAUCUUCUGGACUCCAGUCGCGUCCCGUCCCAAUCUACGGCUUCCUGCGGUCUCCUCUCGCCCCAACAGGGCAGAGGUAGGGGAGAGGUUAGACUCCUGCAAAAGCCUUCCGUCCCUGCCCUGGCAAAGGCUCCACCAGGAGAUCCAGCAGCCUCCCCAACGAUUUACAGACGUUCGCCCUGUUAAGAAGUGUUGGUGGUUGGAUGAGGCUAUUGCAACCAAGCUUGUCUUCCCUAGGCUUUCACCAGUAUGGAUCGCUAAAGCGAUCACUGUGGAGAAGCACCAAGAGAAUGAUAUGGAUGCCCAUCCCUGGGCAGGACUAUUGGAUAAGAAAGUGGAAAAGAAAAUGGAACUCUGUCGUCAUAUAUGCGACUGCAGUGAGAAUUGGAUGCACUCAAAAAAUGGAAAGAAGCAUCAAAUCCUAUAAUGGAAGAAUGGGCCGAGGAACCUCCAGCCUUUGGUGUUUCCACCUUCAAGGAAGGAAUCAGGGAGAAGACAGGGAUCCCUUCCACUCAUCAACUGAGCCAGCCAUGAAUUCCUCACCUUUAUUGCGACCGUUUUUGGCAAACCCUUCUCACUCAGCUGGACCGUUCCUGAGGGCUGAGAAUGGAAGUCAGCCGAAGGGAAAGACGGGAAGGGGACCUUCCCUGCUGAGGCUUGACCGGCUUCCCUUCCACCCUCUACACCUGCCCCACGGAGCAAGUACAGAAAUGCAGGUGGAUUUCUUUUUUUAAAAAAAAAGUUUUAUUUUUAUAAGGUUAAGGGUAGAAUGGGGUCAGGGUUAGGAUUAGGUUAGGGUUGGGGCUAGGGUUUACCCAGGUAACAUUUUCGAUAUUUAGCAAACAGCAUAUUGUCUGGGUACAUAUAUUUAAACAACAACAAUAGAUAUAGUAAUAGGUAAUAAUAAUAGAUAUAGCUAAUUAUCCUAGGCAGUAUUAAUCAUUUCAUGGCGUCCUUCUUGUAAUUCAUAUGUAACUCAAAAUAGCUGCCGGUUCUGCUGAAGUGGUGUGAGCUGGCUGAAUCCCACCACUGGAUGGGGAUCAUUUGGUCCUUUAGAUUUUUGAGGGCUGCUUUGUCCUCUACUCUGUGUGGCUUCCAAUUCUGUGUUCUUGUGGUCUGUGGUAGGAUUGUCCGCCUUCUCUUUGCUUGGGUCUCCAGGGGCAAGAAGUCCUGUGGUUUUCAAUACUGCUUCUAACGUUGCAACAAAUUCUGACUGAUUAGCGUUGUCUAUGUUGAGUUGAGGUCUUUCUGGAGUAUAUUGUGGCCUGCAGUAAAUAGAGGUCAGUUGGGCCUGUGGACUGCCCAUUUGGGUUCAUCUGUCUCUUUGUUUCUGGAGUUUAGUUGAGAAGUUUGGUUUGGAAUUUUGUUUUCCUUUUUCUUUUUUUGUCUUAGAGAUGUAUUCUUGAAGGUGGUUGUCAGCAUUCUUGUGUUUAAUCGUUUUUCCAGUUGCUCCUUGAGGUUGUUUAUAGUGCAUCACCAUAAUACACAAACCAGCUAAGUAGCCCAAGUAGAAAAACUAGAAGUCAUCUAUUCUACAACGUGGAGAGCAACAGCCAUUGUGUAGGACAGACAGGCUCAGCUCAUCCAUGAACACCAACUAGCAAACAAGACACAAUAAAAACUGCCAAAUUGCAUGGACGGACUCAGCCACAGUUUCAACUGGGGAACGGUGACCCUCCCAGCCAAGCCAAAUCCAAAAAUGCCAGGGAAUUUUGGGAAGCCUGGCAUUCAGACAAAGCAGCCACGAAUGGGGAUGCUGCAAUAGUUGUAAGUGAGAAGACCACUCGUAAGUCACUUUUCCCAGUGCCGUUGUAACUUCAAAUGGUCACUCAAUGAACAGUUGCAAGUUGAAAAGUACUGUAUUGUACAUCAAUAGGGAGCAACGCGCCCCCCCCUUACACACUGGCACGGAUGGUGUUAAUGAUCAAUGAUGUCUGGUAAAGAGAUGCCUGCAAGCGAAAAACCGAGCUCAAGAGAGCCCCGAGGACCCCCCAUUUCAACCCUGUGCUACAGAGAUUCUCUUCUGUUGGAUCUCAUCCUGCAAGUACAGCAAUGAAAAAAUUCUAUUGUCCACGGUUUUUCCUAUGCGGCAAGAUGAUGAUGUUCUUUCAUUUUGUUUAAUAACUGUAAUAGUUAAAUAUUGAUUUAAUUUGAAUUCUUGGCACCUUACGCUUUUUUUCUAUUUAAUUUACCUGCUAAGGGUAGACAGUAAAACUUGAAGUCUGCUUCCUCACGGGUGUGUGUUCUUUGUCUUUGGAUUCUCAAAGAACCGUUUCUCUGGCACCCGGCCACUGCCUGACCCUCGGCAACAGGCUCACAUGCACGGGGGUGGGGGGGACUUGUCAUCUCAGGUGGAUUCAGUCUGAGCAAGCCAAGUAAAUUGACAACCAAGGAAAGGAUUCACCCAGACAAAUUUGCUAUUAAGCCAUUGGGCCAAGAGACCAAAACAUCUCGUUCUGUUUACCUCAAGCAGGCUGAGUUCAAGUCACGUCUGAGGCGUGAAAGCCCUUUGGGUGAAGCGGCUGGAGACGGUGAGUUUGAGUUCCACUUUAAGCGUGAAAGGCGGCUGGGUAUCUUUGACCAAUCAGCAGGAGAUGCUGAGUUCUAGUCCCGCCUUAGGCAUGAAAGCUGGCUUGGUGAGUUUGCAUCCAUCGCCAGGAGGCUCUGACUUCAAAUCCUGCCUUAGGCCUGAAAGCUGGCUGGGUGACGUUGGGCCAAUCUCUCUCAGCCCAGCCCACCUUGCAGGGUGGUGGUUGUGGGAAAAAUUGGAAAACGAAAGAGUAGCAGGUCUGUUCCUUGCCUUGAUUUGCCUGUCUGAAACCAGGCAGGAGAAGCCAAUGGCACAGCCUCCUUCUCUCUGAAGGCGAAUCGGUCUCCUUGCUAGGCCAGCCUUUCCCAAGAUGGAGCCCUCCAGCUAAGUUGGCCCUCCCUCUGGCCAGCACCUGUCCCAGCGCAAGAAGGACCAGCCAGGAGCAGGGCGGAUCUGCUGCUGGGAUCCUUGGGCUUCUCUCAGGCUGUUCUGGCUCGGGCUGCCUUGGGAUCCAUUUUCUCGCAAGGAGACACACACACACUCGAGAAACUGGUCAGACAAAACGGCAGCAGCUGGUGAUAAUCUCCGAGCGGUCUGCUUUCCAACCCAGACUUUUUCUUUCACUGUUUCUCUGCUUAACUUUGGUCACUCUGUUUCCAUAUUUAUAACUGCAUUUGAUAUCAUUUCAUUGCGUUAUGCAGCUCCCAAAGCAAGAUGGGCAGCGUAUAAAUUGAAUCGAUCCAUCAAUCAGUCAAUCCAAUAAACAAGAAGUUAGGAGUUCUCUGCUUGGAAAUUUGCUGGAUCUUGUGAUCCAAAAGGAGAUCUCCCUCCUGCUGGGCUGCCCUUAUGCCACCAAGGCGAGUGGCAAACUUUUAUCCUCAAAUUGCCAUUUCCCCCCCCCCCCCAUAUGUGUGGUGGUCCCGCUUGCCUUUUGGCCAGAGCCUCAUCCCACAAGGGUUUCAUUGCAUCAAAUGGAAGAUCGAACAGGUUCUGGACCAACUUAGCUGACAACUUUGUCAUCCAAAAGGUAGAGGAGGGAAUUAGAAGGACAGCUAUACUGAACCUAAUUCUUACUAAUAGAGAGGAAGAGAUAGAAGGGGCUGAACCUGCCAGAACUUUGGGGGAGAGAGACCAUGUCUUACUGGAAUUCAAUCUAAUGAAAACACAAGCAAUAGAACAUAAUAAAAACCAGUGUCUUAGACUUUAAAAGAGCUGAUUUUAACAAACUCAGAGAGAGCUUGGGAAGGAUUCCAUGGAUGAAAAUCUUAAAGGGAAAAACA